CACGUAGGGUGCGAGCGUUGUCCGGAAUUAUUGGGCGUAAAGAGCUCGUAGGCGGUGUGUCGCGUCGGCCGUGAAAACCUGCAGCUUAACUGUGGGCUUGCGGUCGAUACGGGCAUCACUGGAGUUCGGCAGGGGAGACUGGAAUUCCCGGUGUAGCGGUGAGAUGCGCAGAUAUCAGGAGGAACACCGAUGGCGAAGGCAGGUCUCUGGGCCACUACUGACGCUGAGAAGCGAAAGCAUGGGGAGCGAACAGG
rnacentral:rRNA from 1 species